GGGGAGGCCGGAUCCUGGGCUGUGUCCCCGUAACGUGUGCUCCGGAGCCUGCGCUGGUGGAUUCGCGCUCUUGGGCCGCGCAGCCCCCU
rnacentral:pre_miRNA from 1 species